rnacentral:lncRNA from 1 species
GGAAGAUAUCACAACACAACUCUAGACACAAAUAAAAUAAUACAAGCUUUAUAUUACAAGCCAGGGGCCUCGAGGGCUCGAAUACAAGCUCGAUACACAAGAGUCAGCGGAAGCAACAAUAUCUGAGUACAGACAUAAGUUAAACAAGGAUGCCUUAAGAAGGCUAGCACAAAAGCAACAACGAUCGAAGAGGCAAGGCCUCCUGCCUGGGACCUCCUAACUACUCCUGGCCGUCGGCGGUCUUCACGUAGCAGCAUCCAUCGGCGAUGGCAUCUGGCUCCAGGGAUCCACCAUCUGGUUGCAUCAACCGGAAAGAAGAAGUAAGGGGGAAAAGGGGUAGCAAAGCAACCGUGAGUACUCAUCCAAAGUACUCGCAAGCAUCAGAUCUAUACUAAGUAUGCACUGGUAUCAAAUGGAAGGUUUGUAUCGUGGACUAAACUGCAGAAUGCCAGAAUAGAGGGGGAAGGCCUAGCCUAUCGAAGACUAGCAUCUUCAUGCAGCUCCGAGCAUCUUGCAGCAUGUAGAAGAGUAAAGAAUAGCAGUUUAUAUUUAACAAGCAUGUUGUAACAUUAAUGCCCAGAGAUCCUUCCUCGACUUCCUGCGAGAAAGCAAUCCCGGAGCCACAUAUCUCAAGUAUCCAUUUGUAGUUGUAUAAGCUCAGGAUAUAAGUCUGAACGUCCGUUACCGUGGACACAACUAUUAAUAGAUAAUCUUCCCUACAGGGGUGCACCACGUUUGCCAACACGCUCGAUCACGUUGGCCGGACACACCUUUCUGGGGUCAAUGCCCGGCCUCGGAAGAUCAACACGUCGCAACCCUACCUAGGCUCAGCAGAGAGGUCCCCGCCGGUCUACAUCCUAAGCGCUCCGGGGUCUGGGCCCAUCGCCCGUUGCACUCCGGAUCGUUACGUGCAGGGCGGACCUAGGCACCACCACUGGGGUGCCGGCCCAGCCGUGCCGCAAUGCUGAACUGGACGUCUGACAAAGCUUCGGCUGAUACCAUGACGUCGAGGCCCAUAACUAUUCUCACGUGGUGGUUGGUGCGUAAAGGCCAAAGGCCAACUCAGAACAAAUACCCAAACCAUAGUGUAUUAUUAGCUUGCGAAGACGAGCAGAGACUCAUGAUAAGGUGACCCCGUCGCCCCGUCUCGAGGAAAUACGGCAAGGGCUAGCCCAGCCCACUCGGGGGCGGCCUGCCGGCCCGGCCGUGCCUCGUAACCAUCUUGCGGGUGCUCUCCGGGCCCACCCGACUUUCACAACGGUCUCCAGUAAAAUCAAGGUAACUGUGUGUCCAGACAUCAAGGGGAAAACCCGAGGAAUCACCCCCGGUGGAUUCCACUCAAUGUAAUCAUCAAGGUGAAUGUAAGAGGGACCACCCUCGAGGUUCACUCUUGAGGUGUUUGAACGACAGAGCCGUAUCGGGAAUGGUGAAAGAGGAAAUCACCCUCGAUGACCACGACCGAAUAGUUACACUACAGAAUUAUCAUCAAAAGUGCAUUAUGAGGGAUCACCCUCGGCACUCGAUAGUAGCUCUGUAGAGUCGAGCAACAAAAGGGGCGUGAUGUGAUGUGAGGUGCCAGGCUCUGGUCGUCGAUCACGCUGAUCGAGGCAUCAAUGAUGAAGCAGGGGCAACAAGGACAAGGUGGAGGUCACUGAUGGAUCACUAGCCAACCUAUACUAAGUAGUUUAGGGUAAGCAGGUAGGUAACAAUAGCAGGUACAAAAGCAGGCUAUGCAUCAGAAUAGGAGCAAACAAUAACAGUAGCAAAAUCUAAUGCAAGCAUGAGAGUAUAGAAUGGGCGAUAUCGGGAUGAUCAAAGGGGGGGCUUGCCUGGUUGCUCAGACAAGAAGGAGGUUCGUCGUCGACGUAGUCGAUCAUAGGGGCAUCAGCAGCGGUCUCGGGGUCUACCAGAGAGAAGGGGGGAA